GGGCCCGCACAAGCAGUGGAGUAUGUGGUUUAAUUCGAAGCAACGCGAAGAACCUUACCAGGUCUUGACAUCGAGUGCAUAGUCUAGAGAUAGAUGAAGUCCUUCGGGACACUUAGACAGGUGGUGCAUGGUCGUCGUCAGCUCGUGUCGUGAGAUGUUGGGUUAAGUCCCGCAACGAGCGCAACCCUUAUCGAUAGUUACUACGCAAGAGGACUCUAUCGAGACUGCCGUUGACAAAACGGAGGAAGGUGGGGAUGAUGUCAGAUCAUCAUGCCCUUUAUGACCUGGGCUACACACGUACUACAAUGGCCGUUAACAGAGAGAACCGAUACCGCGAGGUGGAGGAAAACUUUUAAAAACGGUCUCAGUUCGGAUCGCAGGCUGCAACCCGCCUGCGUGAAGUCGGAAUUGCUAGUAAUCGCGGAUCAGCAUGCCGCGGUGAAUACG
rnacentral:rRNA from 2 species